rnacentral:siRNA from 1 species
ACCGUUCACCGAUGUUUUCCAGCC